AUGGGAGAGGACGACUCCACUGGGCCAAGACUCUUGGGUAUCUUCAAGAAGUCUGUGGAUAGAAAGAAGCAGCAGAAGCUGGAGAUCCUUCUUACCGGUGGCAAGAGCUUGGAAAACUCCCUCAGACGCUCAUUCGCCUCCACGAACAAACAGCCUGGAUUCCCUGCUGGUCGGCUGGACCAGGAAGAAAGGGUGGGAGCUAGUCAGCCAUGGAUCUUAAGCUCCAGCUGUUUGAGAAUAUGUUUCUUUUCUCUUGCCCUCUCCCUCGUCUCAUCUUUUCUAUCCUUCACCCGGUUCUCCUAAUCCUUCGAAAGAGAGGCACAAGGUUUUCUUCUCCCCAGAGCAACCAGAGAGAGAAAGCAAAAAAGCUUUCGCUCCAAGGAACUCUGCUCCUGUUUUAUGGGGUUUGUCAAUAACGUUCCUUCACUAAGAUAGCAUCUCAGCAGAAUGAAAGAGCCCUCUGCUCUUCGUGAAAAGAGCUGUUUUCUCUUGGGGGUGUGGGGGGGUCAUUAAAUAAACCUGUUUUUUAAAAAAG
rnacentral:lncRNA from 1 species